rnacentral:rRNA from 1 species
UACGUAGGGUGCAAGCGUUAUCCGGAAUUAUUGGGCGUAAAGAGCUCGUAGGCGGUUUGUCGCGUCUGCUGUGAAAACUGGGGGCUCAACCCCCAGCCUGCAGUGGGUACGGGCAGACUAGAGUGCGGUAGGGGAGAUUGGAAUUCCUGGUGUAGCGGUGGAAUGCGCAGAUAUCAGGAGGAACACCGAUGGCGAAGGCAGGUCUCUGGGCCGCAACUGACGCUGAGGAGCGAAAGCAUGGGGAGCGAACAGG